GGAAAGCACCCUAGACCAGCUGUCCAAGACAAAAACACACAGAAAGAGGCCCAUGAACAAAGACACUGAUGAUGCUCAAAAACAGACCAAGAGACCGUGGAGUGUGGAGGAAAAGAGUGCAGUGGACAGAAGGAUGGGCAAAUUCAUAGCUGUGAGACGAGUGCCUGGGAAAGAAGCCUGCACAUUGUGCAUCACACAGGAGUCCCCAGCACUGAAAAAACGCACCUGGAAAGAUGUCAAAUAUUACGUUUACAAUGAGAUAGUUAAAGUCAGGAAACGGCUGUUUCAAAAUCUUUAAGAAUGCUGUUAAGAGUGUCGCAGCUUCAAAAAGAUUUUCUAUGGUAGUUCUGUCAGUGUUCAGCACCAGUUGUAGCAUUUAUAAAUGUUCAUUUACCUAUGCACAAUUUGCACUGUAAAGGACAUGUUUUCUUGAAUUUCUUAAAUUUCCCAUGUUGCACUUUAAAAGAAAUGUUUCCCUGUGUUGGCCUUGAUCAGGUUUUAGGCCUGGUAAGCACUUUUCUGUUGAUUAAAAAUAGAUUUUACAUACUGUGAGCCAAACGUGGCACUUGAGACGCAAUACACUAUUGUCUUGGUUAAAGACCAAUCUUAUUUCUUUUAUUUGCAAGCUGAUAUUUGUAUUUUAUUGAUGAUCAAAGCAGCUGCUACUGUUUUAUUGUAAGCCCUCAAUUGGCUUUAAGAAAAAAAAUAUAAAUACAAACGCUUAAAGCAA